ACGAACGCUGGCGGCGUGCUUAACACAUGCAAGUCGCACGGAAAGGCCCUGCUUUUGUGGGGUUCUCGAGUGGCGAACGGGUGAGUAACACGUGAGUAACCUGCCCUUGACUUUGGGAUAACUUCAGGAAACUGGGGCUAAUACCGGAUAGGAGCUCCUGCUGCAUGGUGGGGGUUGGAAAGUUUCGGCGGUUGGGGAUGGACUCGCGGCUUAUCAGCUUGUUGGUGGGGGAGUGGCUUACCAAGGCUUUGACGGGGAGCCGGCCUGAGAGGGUGGCCGGCCACAUUGGAACUGAGAUACGGCCCAGACUCCUACGGGAGGCAGCAGUGGGGAAUAUUGCACAAUGGGCGGAAGCCUGAUGCAGCAACGCCGCGUGCGGGAUGACGGCCCUCGGGUUGUAAACCGCUUUCGCCUGUGACGAAGCGUGAGUGACGGUAAUGGGUAAAGAAGCACCGGCUAACUACGUG
rnacentral:rRNA from 1 species